GACGAACGCUGGCGGCGUGCCUAAUACAUGCAAGUCGAGCGGGCUUAUUCGAGUAGCUUGCUAUUUGGAUAAGUCAGCGGCGGACGGGUGAGUAACACGUGGGUAAUCUGCCUCGUAGUCUGGGAUAACAAGCCGAAAGGUUUGCUAAUACCGGAUGAGUUCAUGUUAUUGCAUAGUGACAUGAAGAAAGGGGAGACCCGCUAUGAGAUGAGCCCGGUCCCAUUAGCUAGUUGGUGGGUAAAGGCCUACCAAGGCAACGAUGGGUAGCCGGCCUGAGAGGGUGUACGGCCACACUGGGACUGAGACACGGCCCAGACUCCUACGGGGGGCAGCAGUAGGGAAUUUUCGGCAAUGGGCGAAAGCCUGACCGAGCGAACGCCGCGUGAGGGACGAAGGCCUUCGGGUUGUAAACCUCUGUCUGGGGGAUGAGAACGGACGGUACCCCGGAGGAAGCCCCGGCUAACUACGUG
rnacentral:rRNA from 1 species